GAAAGCAUAUAAGCGCGAAACCCACCACAAGAUGAGAUUUCUUUAAAGGGUCGUGAGAGACGAUCACGUUGAUAGGCUAUAGGUGUAAAGGCAGUAAUGUCAUAGCCGAGUAGUACUAAUAACCCGUAUAGCUUAUGCAAU
rnacentral:rRNA from 1 species